rnacentral:rRNA from 1 species
UCCAGACUCCUACGGGAGGCAGCAGUGGGGGAUAUUGCACAAUGGGGGGAACCCUGAUGCAGCGACGCCGCGUGGGUGAAGGAGCGUUUCGGCGCGUAAAGCCCUAUCGGCAGGGAAGAAGGAGGACGGUACCUGACUAAGAAGCCCCGGCUAACUACGUGCCAGCAGCCGCGGUAAUACGUAGGGGGCAAGCGUUAUCCGGAUUUACUGGGUGUAAAGGGGGCGCAGACGGCAGCGCAAGCCAGGAGUGAAAGCCCGGGGCCCAACCCCGGGACUGCUCUUGGAACUGCGUGGCUGGAGUGCAGGAGGGGCAGGCGGAAUUCCUGGUGUAGCGGUGAAAUGCGUAGAUAUCAGGAGGAACACCGGUGGCGAAGGCGGCCUGCUGGACUGUGACUGACGUUGAGGCCCGAAGGCGUGGGGAGCAAACAGGAUUAGAUACCCUCGUAAC